GACGGACGCUGGCGGCGUGCUUAACACAUGCAAGUCGAGCGGUAAAGGCCCUUUCGGGGUACACGAGCGGCGAACGGGUGAGUAACACGUGGGUGACCUGCCCUCAGCUCUGGGAUAAGCCUGGGAAACCGGGUCUAAUACCGGAUAUGACUCCAUGACGCAUGUUGUGGGGUGGAAAAGCCUUGUGCGGCUGAGGAUGGGCCCGCGGCCUAUCAGCUUGUUGGUGGGGUGANGGGCCUACCAAGGCGACGACGGGUAGCCGGCCUGAGAGGGCGACCGGCCACACUGGGACUGAGACACGG
rnacentral:rRNA from 1 species